rnacentral:lncRNA from 1 species
CUUGAAACGUGAUGCUGACUGAAAGAAGCCAGUCACAAAGGACCACAUACUGUAUGAUCCCAUUUAUAUGAAAUGUCCAGAGCAGGCAAAUCUGUAGUGGCAGAAAGUAGAUUAGGGGUUGCCAGAGGCUGAGCGCAUAAGAUGCUCCUCGACGUUGACACACCAUCACUCUGUCCUUGGACAAAGACUCGGCGAGACUCUGGGUCCUCGGGACAAAGCCCGGCCCCUCCCAGCAGGGUUGACCGAAGAUCCUUGGAGACAAGAGCAGGUGGACACACGGCGUGGCGCAGGCCUUCUGGGAGGAUUCUGGAGACCGCAUAGGAUCCUCGCAAGUUGCAAGAUGGGGAUUCAGCCUCAGGUUUUCUGUCCCUAAGCCGGCAUCUCACACCGUCGCCUCUGGAACAGGCAGCCAGCGUGGCCCUGCAGAGAGCGCGUCGCCGAGCAGUCAGGCACCACUGAGGUGGGGCAGCCUUGUCAGCCAGCAGAACAGACGCUCCCAGCUGGAGCUGAGACCCUCCCAGUCCGUCUCGGGAGGCGAGAGGAGGAGGACCACCGAAAGGCCACACGAGGGCCCGUGGCGCGGCUGGGGUCACAGGGCUGAAUCAUAUUCCAUUGUGCAGACAGGCCACAUUUUGUCAUCCACUCAUCCGUCGAAGGACUCUGGGUUCCUUCUUCCAGGGAGGGCACGGAGUGCCGGGCCAGAGUCAGGAGCCCGAACGUGGAUACCAUGCCCCCCAACUUCUGAGCCCCCCGAGCUCUGAUGCUCCCACUGGGAAAUGACAGGACUAUGGUAAAACAGGC